GAUGAACGCUGGCGGCGUGCUUAACACAUGCAAGUCGAACGAUUGAAGCUGGAGCUUGCUCCGGCCGAUUUAGUGGCGGACGGGUGAGUAACGCGUGGGUAACCUGCCUCAUACAGGGGGAUAGCAGUUGGAAACGACUGGUAAAACCGCAUAAGCGCACGGUGUCGCAUGACACAGUGUGAAAACGCUCCGGUGGUAUGAGAUGGACCCGCGUCUGAUUAGCUAGUUGGUGAGGUAACGGCCCACCAAGGCGACGAUCAGUAGCCGGCCUGAGAGGGUGAACGGCCACAUUGGGACUGAGACACGGCCCAAACUCCUACGGGAGGCAGCAGUGGGGAAUAUUGCACAAUGGGGGAAACCCUGAUGCAGCGACGCCGCGUGAGUGAUGAAGUAUUUCGGUAUGUAAAGCUCUAUCAGCAGGGAAGAUA
rnacentral:rRNA from 1 species